AUUGAACGCUGGCGGAAUGCUUUACACAUGCAAGUCGAACGGCAGCACGGACUUCGGUCUGGUGGCGAGUGGCGAACGGGUGAGUAAUGUAUCGGAACGUGCCCAGUCGUGGGGGAUAACGUAGUGAAAAUUACGCUAAUACCGCAUACGAUCUAUGGAUGAAAGCGGGGGAUCGCAAGACCUCGCGCGAUUGGAGCGGCCGAUAUCAGAUUAGGUAGUUGGUGGGGUAAAGGCCCACCAAGCCAACGAUCUGUAGCUGAUCUGAGAGGACGAACAGCCACCCGGUAAGUGAGGAACGGUCCAGACUCCUACGGGAGGCAGCAGUGGGGAAUUUUGGACAAUGGGCGAAAGCCUGAUCCAGCCAUUCCGCGUGCAGGAUGAAGGCCCUCGGGUUGUAAACUGCUUUUGUACAGAACGAAAAGGUUUCUACUAAUACUAGGAGCUCAUGACGGUACUGUAAGAAUAAGCACCGGCUAACUACGUGCCAGCCGCCGCAGUAA
rnacentral:rRNA from 1 species